AACGUCAAACUUUCCUGCUCCUGAGAUGCUGCUUGUCCUGCUGUGUUCAUCCAGCUCCACACCUUGUUAUCUCAGAUUCUCCAGCAUCUGCAGUUCCUACUAUCUCAUUCCCAGAGCUAAUUGGGAUUGGAAAAUUUAACCAUUUCUCUGGCUACAACAGUGGAAGCAAAAGUGGCUGUCAAGAAUGCAUCAAUUUUCAGGACUGCAUAUCUAUUGUGAAGGAAUAUUCUGGUGAUAUAACAUCACGGCACACAUAAUGUUAUGGUGCAAUCAUGGACUGAGUCCGCUGGUCGAGGCCCUGAUCAGGGGAAUUGCUGUGUUCAGUUUGCUCCAGAUAUUCCCAUCCGUGCCAUUGGGAAGUGAUCAUCACACACCCGACUUAAACCUUAUUGGAUGUCGGGAGGAUUGGACUGGUCUUGGAGGGAAGGUCUCCCAGCUCCUCAAGAAGAGGUGGUUUUGAUCAUCCAUGCAAUAUUUGUGCCUUAAGAACUUUAACAUAGCGUCUCAUUCUCGUGUGCAGGGCUCCAGCAUGGUGUGAAUGGAGGUGUUCGUGGAGCUGCCUUCUCCUGUUACUGGUUGUCCACAACUCUCAAUGAGCUUCCCUCUUAGCUUGAGAGAUAGCUACAGCAAGAUUGGACCUCACCGGAAGUGGAGAAGAAGCAAUGGAGAAGAAAUAAACUGAAAAGUGAGAAAAAAACCAAACUGUGACAUCACAGGUAGGAGUCUGAAGUUUCUAUGAUGUCCAGAGCCAAGAAUUAUCGAUACUUGAUUCAUAAAGCUCCCGGCACCCUGCAGGUUCGAUCACAAAGAAUCCCGAAUGAGGCCCGAAUUCUAACCCCGCGCAGACCCGAGCCCAAGGAGGUCCAGUCCAGGAAUGAAACUGGCCCCUGCAGCAACCCAACUCCGUCAGCCAGAAAGGGCUGGGCAUCCUCCUCAAAUUUGUCUCCUAGAGAAAUUCCUCGCCAUCCUCCGCCUGCUGCAUGACAGCAUGUAAGCAGUGAUCCUCAAAAAUACAUACACCACAAACCUAAUACAUGUGCAAACUGGGGUGAAGCACCAACACAGCUCCAAUUUUCUCAUUUUAACAAUCCAACCCGUGCCCACAAAUGGACUGGAGCUUCUCUACGGGACAAGUGGGAAACUGUUCAAUUUGCAUCGCAUCCAGUUCAGAAUCAAGACCACCCCAACCUCUGUGGCAGGCUGCAGUUAGCAGACCACACUUGUGCAUGUACAUACUCAGAGUCAAACUACAAACUAUCAAUGUAUUCAAAAGUGUGACAAUGUAAACUUCACAACUUUAUUAAACUAUUCAAAGAUUGAAAGAAUUGACAAUAGAUAAAUGUUACAACAGAAAGAAUCAGUGAUAACUCUGGAAUAAACUUUUCUUGAGGGACGGAGCAACAAGAAACUGUUUUAAAGGAGUUAAAAGCAACAUGUGAAUUAACUGUCUCUGGGAAGAAACAGCAUGAACAAGCUGUUUCCUGGGAGAAGAGAUAACUUUGCUUGAUAAUCUGCUGCCUCUUGACAAAUGGGCAAUUAAGACCGCCUGCCAGAAGUACUGUGGUGAAGUGAAGGUGUUAAUUGUAGCAAAAGCUAUGUUUUAAACAGACAGCUAACCAAACGUGACAAGGAAAAGGGGAGCUAUUUCUGAUGAGAUAGCAAACUACAUACUUAAAAUCUCUGAAUGUGUAAUUAUUUUGUGGAUGAAAGAAUCUAAAGGAUAUCAAUAAUGUCACACCACAAACAUGAAAGAGAGAAAAUUUGUGUGAGAUUCCAACACCAGGUCAAGUCAACAGCAGAACUUCAAAGAAAAACAAUACAGAAGGACUGAACUUUGGAAACUUCCAGAGACAGAACACUGUUGCGUGAAAACCUGGCCAGAUUUCAACAUUAAUCGGCUAAUAGCUAAGUUGGGUUGCAAGGCUUAUACUCAUCUACUUGAGUGGUCUUGUUUUGGUUGUUGCAUACAAUAAAGUUUAAAUGAUUGUUUCAGUCCUUGAUUGCCUGUGAGAUUUCUUAAUGAGUAGCUGAAUUAAAGAUAACUUGUGGUUAUUUACCCACAACAUGGGGCAUUAUGAAGGAAUGAGAUUUAGGGUAGAAAUCCAGAACAGAAAGGUUCUUCACAUCUUACUCCCACUGUACAACCAUGCCCCCUUACUAUCAGGAUCCAUAAUGAGCCACCAGACAACGUGGAUCAAUCCUCAUACCUUGGCAGUCUCGUCUCAGUGAGGGCAGGCAGUGACUAGGAAAUUCACUGUUGGACCCACUGUGUAGCUCAGAUUUUGGUUGCCUGAAGAAUCGAGUGCUUGAUGAUAAAGACCCCAGACCUUACACCAAGAUCAUGUUGUACAGCACAGCUGGAAAUGUGUUACACGCCUCCUGUAUGUUGGAAACAGAGACAAUGUAGCAGACGUCCCAAAUAGCUAGGGAAAUAUCAUCAGCAAAGUCUUCGCAAAUCCUGAAAAUCACUGGCAGGAUAAGUUUUCUAAUAUAAAUGACUUCUCUCAGGAUAAUCUCCCUAGCAUCGAGGUACUGGUUACUAUCAAUCAGCAGCAUUGGUUGAUCCAUGCUGUGCUCAUUCCUGAAAAUUAACCUCCAAAGCUCUUUACUCCAAGCUUCAUCACAAUGAACGACUGCUAGGAGGGCAGAGAACUAUUUCAAAGACGUCUGCAAUAUCCCUACCAACACUUGGGAAUCUCUUGUAUGAGACUGCCUAAACUACAGAAGCAUCUGCAAGGGAGGCAACCGUUUUAAACUCCUCCGACAGGCUGAGAUAGAGAAGUACAAACAGUGGAAGGAGCAAGCACCCAACCGUCCACCCACCUGACUCAUCAAACACUACUUCUCCAAUCGGGAUUUAUGGAUCAACGAUUGGACCAUUUAAUCACAUCAGGUUCUACAACACUGGAGUGGAGGAAAGACAUCCUCUAGCAGAACAAUAGUGCUUAUGUCUCAAACAAAAAGGAAUACUUUAGGAAGAUUAGAGGAGUAUAGAAUGUACAAGGGUAAAGUGAUACGGUAAGUUAGGAAAGCAAAGAUAAGAUUGAAAAAUAUUGGAUGGUAAAAUGAAGGUAAAUCUGAAGGUACUUUAGCAGUGAAUUCAAGAAGUGGAUCAUAUCAGAAAGGGUUCAGCCCAUCAGAGAUGGAUAUGGUAACUUGUGCAUGGAUGCAGAAAAUUUGGGGAAUGGUUUUAACUGGAUUCUUUGGCUCUGUCUUCACAAAGGAAUUGGAUGAUGAUGUAGACAUUCUAGUUAAAGAUUGGAAUUUCCCUGGAAUAUAGGAAAAUGUGUUAAGUUGAUUAAAAUUUGGUUGUUGACUCAGCGACAGAAGACAAAUGAUAAUGAUCAACGGAUGUUUUGCUAUGGAAAGUAGUUUCCAAUGAAGUUCCACAGGGUUGUGUGUUAAGGGCCUUACAGUUUGUGGUAUUAAUUAAUGAAUUAGACACGUGAUUGGGAAAUUUACAGAUGGCAUAAAAUUUGGCCAGAUACGGAUAGUGAAGGGGAUGGCUGUCAAGUUCAGAAAAAUAUCACUGGUGUGGUUGAAUGGACAGGGAAGAGGCAAAGAGAAUUCAGUCUAAAAAAGUGUGAGGUUAUUCAUUUGGGGAGGGAAAACAAAGCAUACAUUAUAAACAAAUGUACUGGGAGAAGUAGAGAAAGUGAGAGCCUUUAGGAGUGCAUGUCUACAGAUCCCAAAGCUACAGGACAAAUUAAUAAGGUUGUUAGGGAGGAAUAUGGGAUUCUUUACUUCACUGGGCAAGGUAUUGAAUACAAGAGCAGGAAUGUAAUGUUGUAAUUAUAUAAGGCACUGGUUAGGGCACAGCUGGAGUAUUGUGCACAGUUCUGCCAGAGCUUGAAAAUUACAUCUAUGAGCAAAGGUUGGAUAGGCUAGGUUUUUCCCCCUUAGAACAGGGAAGGCUGAGGAUUGACUAAACGGUACAUAAGAUAAUGAGGUGCUUGGAUAGAAUGGACAGAGAAUGCUUGUUUCUUCUAGCAGAGAGGUCACAGGGGCAUAAGACGAUUGGCAGAAGGAUUAGAGGCGACAUGAGGAAAAACAUUUUUAUCAAUAGUGUGGUCGGUGGAUAAAAUUUGCUAAUUUAAAAGGAACCUAGAUUUAUUAUCUUGGAAUUCCCCAGCAUCUGCAGUUCCCAUUAUCUCUGUACCUGGAGUGGUCACCUACGAGACUAUGAGCUAAGUGCAGGAAAGUGGGACUAGAAUGGGCAGUUGUUGCAGGUGCGAUGGACUGAAUGCCUGCUUGUUGUUAUGAUAUAACAUAUAUGAUUUAUCUAUAUUUUAAUUUAUUUUUAUUUUUGGAUUUGAAACUAGUGACAUGUGGGUUCUGUGUGCCUGAAGGCAUUAACUUGUUGGUGUAUAUGUAGCCAUAGAGAUUUCUUUUUAAAAGAGUAUGAGAGAUAAAGUUAUUGAAUGCUAAUAGG